rnacentral:lncRNA from 1 species
CUGAGUUGCAAAAAUGGAACCUGUUGAUAUUUUCCUGUUUUUUCUUACAGACUACUCAGUAAUAGGAAACUACUGAUAUCUGCCUUUGCAGAUGUCCACAGCUGACGUCAGGAAUUUCAGAUACUAUUGUGCAAAGGUCUCACUGGCUGUGGACUCUGCCGUGGUUUAAUCAAAGCAUUGCUACCGACAGACAGCAAAAGUCUGAAGCAGAACGAAAAUCCAAGCCAUACUCCAUGCAGAGAAACACUGGAGCAGCAGAAAUUUUGAGGAGUAUUUUUCCUUUUGUCAGUGAUAAAGCAUAAAAUUCAUGCUUUCUUCACACUGAAGAGGUAAGAAGAUCUAACUCCUCUAUCAAAACAACGAUAGAAAAACAAAAGGUAUAUGCUUACUGAUUGGUUCUUCUUCUUUUUAUAAUUGUUGAACCUCUUUUAAUUAAAUACUGCUUAAAACUUGAAUCAAGGCUAUAUUUAGAUCUAUUUUCUGGCUGGCUAUUUUGAUUUUAGUUAGGUAUAGCUUUUAAUGUUACUGUUCACAUUGACAAUAGUAAUGAAAAAUAAUCUCUGUGAGCCUUCUAGAUAUGCAGUGGUUCUAUCAUCAUUUCCCACAUUUUCAUAAAGAGUUUUUAAUAACAAAUAGAUAGGAAAAAAUAAUAAUUCCAGUGUCAACUGUUUUGUGCAAGUAUUUCUCUUUUGUGCUACUGAAAUAUUGAAAAAAAACACUUGCAUGGAAAUACAUGCACGUUU